UCCCUGGCAGUCCAGUGGUUAAGACUCCCUGCUUCUAAUGCAGGAGAUGUAGGUUUGAUCCCUGGUCAGGGAA
rnacentral:tRNA from 1 species